rnacentral:lncRNA from 1 species
AGGCCACUGUGUUCACGUCACAGUCUACUCACUAUUAUGUCAUCAAUGGACAGUAGAGAAAAUGAGCUCUCCUGGGAGAUGGUAACACAGAUUUCCACCUUCUGAAAGCUACAGAGGAAUACUGGCCAGGUUCUUUCUGCCUGUUCUGGGCAUGCUGUGCUUUUCAGGAGGUGCAAAACGCUGCUGCUUCUGACAGCAGGGAGAAGUGGCACCUUCAGCUCUGGAAUACAACUACGCAUCUUUUUGACGUGAGAGAAAAGCUGAAGCAUAGGGUGAAUCCUUUGGGAGGAAUAAAAAAGCCCUCAACCUGCAUCAACAUCAGCUCCUGCAAUUCCUUUCGAAUCAGGCAAGCUGCUGCCAAACUCUCCAUAGAACGGUUCAAGACACAGCAGGUCAUGCAGGCUCAGGAGCAGGAAUGUCUCUGAUGGCUGACAAAUGGGUAACAGCAGCUUUGUGACAUUUUACAGGGCAGUACUCUCAGAUGCUGCAGUAAGAGAACUUACUUCCAGUACCAGAUGAGACAACUGACCCAAAAUGCCACUUAUCCUCACUUUUUAGGGCCAGCAUCUGACUCUUCAGGGGAACUAAAAAAGCCUUGAGACAUCUAUUCAACUGAUUGUGCCAUGCUAUAUAAAAAUCAAGAUAUUCCUUCCUGAUACACUGUCACCUUGUUCCCUGACUCAGCCCCACAUCUCCAUCACACUUCUCUCUUGAUACAGCAGGCAAAGCAUUUUUAAGGUCCAGAACAACUCCAAGUGUCACUGAAGUCAUCCUGCAUGCCCUACACCCACCAUGCAAUGACUCCAGCCAAAACAGAUGCGUAUACUCAGCUCUGCUGGGCCCUGCUCAGCUCACCAGGGAUAGAACACACUGCUGAGGUCAACCUGCAAUUAUUUAAGGUGAAACCCUGCUCCUUUUUGGUAUAAUAACCAUCACAGCAGUCUGUGCAGCUGCCAUUAUUCCCAACCUUUCAUGCAAAUUCUCAUUCUCUCGGGCACAAUCACACACCAUUGAAGAAAAAGCAGCUCCAGUUUACCUUUAAGAGGAAAGGAACUCUGCUCAUUUGCCAUCAAACUCCUGCCUAAAUGACAGAACGUCAUGCAGGAGGAACCCAGUUUGAAUGAUUUCAGAACAAUAUCCCUGAGGUAUAUUACAGGAGAAG